rnacentral:rRNA from 1 species
UACGUAGGGUGCGAGCGUUAAUCGGAAUUACUGGGCGUAAAGCGUGCGCAGGCGGUUUUUUAAGACAGGCGUGAAAUCCCCGGGCUUAACCUGGGAACCGCGCUUGUGACUGGAAGACUAGAGUACGGCAGAGGGGGGUGGAAUUCCACGUGUAGCAGUGAAAUGCGUAGAGAUGUGGAGGAACACCGAUGGCGAAGGCAGCCCCCUGGGCCGAUACUGACGCUCAUGCACGAAAGCGUGGGUAGCAAACAGGAUUAGAUACCCUGGUAGUCCACGCCCUAAACGAUGUCAACUAGGUGUUGGGAGGGUAAAACCUUUUAGUACCGUAGCUAACGCGUGAAGUUGACCGCCUGGGGAGUACGGCCGCAAGGUUAAAACUCAAAGGAAUUGACGGGGACCCGCACAAGCGGUGGAUGAUGUGGAUUAAUUCGAUGCAACGCGAAAAACCUUACCUACCCUUGACAUGUUCAGGAGCCUGAAGAGGUUUGGGUGUGCCCGAAAGGGAACUGGAACACAGGUGCUGCAUGGCUGUCGUCAGCUCGUGUCGUGAGAUGUUGGGUUAAGUCCCGCAACGAGCGCAACCCUUGUCGUUAAUUGCCAUCAUUGAGUUGGGCACUUUAACGAGACUGCCGGUGACAAACCGGAGGAAGGUGGGGAUGACGUCAAGUCCUCAUGGCCCUUAUGGGUAGGGCUUCACACGUCAUACAAUGGUCGGUACAGAGGGUUGCCAAGCCGCGAGGUGGAGCCAAUCCCAGAAAGCCGAUCGUAGUCCGGAUUGCAGGCUGCAACUCGCCUGCAUGAAGUCGGAAUCGCUAGUAAUCGCGGAUCAGCAUGUCGCGGUGAAUACGUUCCCGGGUCU